rfam:Picea glauca, whole genome shotgun sequence.
AGCGGGUUAUGGAGCCAAGGAUGACUUGCCAACAUCCACACAUAAUCUGAAAAUAGAAAACAUGCUUACGACGUCAUGAUAUGCAGGAGGGAGUUGGCAAGUUGUCCUUGACUACAUAUCUUGCUGU